AAAGUGGCAGCAGGAUUUGCUAAUGAACUGGACUAACGAAGAUUGGAAACAAACCAAAGAUUUCUCAGAAGUUCUCGGUCAUGGAAUAGGCAAAUGGUAGCAUGGAUGAAGGGAGCACUCAGGAAGGGCUGGCUUUUCCUGAAAGUAGAUGGUGAUCCAGUGGCUUCUGUUGAGAGCUUCCCUGGUGGCUCAUACACUAAAGCAUCUGCCUACAAUGCGGGAGACCCAGGUUCAAUCCAUGGAUCAGGAAGAUCUCCUGGAGAAGGAAAUGGAAACCCACUCCAGUAUUCUUGCCUGGAAAAUCCUAUAGACGGAGGAACCUGAUCCCAUUUAGUGAAUCCUGCUUGCUCUACCUUCAGGAUAUAUCCAGCUGCUGCCCCUGCCAUCCUGUCCAGGCCAUUGCCACCUCUUGUCUGAAUCAUCACAGAGCCUCUAACACGUCUCCCUUCAUCCUUUUGCCCCUGACACGGUGGAGAAGAGACCAAACAGCUGCCAGAGAUCCUCAGCAUGGCGCCCUGGGGCACCGAGGACGCGUGUGCUGCUGUGAAAGCAGAAGCCAGAAUUCUCAUGAUGACUUCAGGGCCCCCUGUGACUCGGCCCCUACGUCCUUCUCUUCAUGCCCUCGCACACUUCUCACCUCUCAUUCUAUUCCAGCCACAGGGGUCUGGCUUCCGUUCCCUGAACUCUCAUGCCCUGAGGCCUUUGCACUCGCUGUCCCUUCUGCCCACACUGCUCUUCUCUAGGGUAUCUGACAGCUCACUCCCUCACCUCUUUCAGGGCUUUCAAAUGCCACCUUCCUCAUGGAGCCUUCCUGGUCAUUCUAUUCAUAAUUUCUCCCCUAAUGGAAACCCUUCACCCCACUAUGUCCCUGAUUUCAUUUUCUCUUUAGAACUUAUGAUGAUCUGACAUACAUAUUUAUAUUAUAUAUUUUAUAUACUUAUUGUGUUGAUUGUCUUUUUCCUGCACAAGAAUAUGAAGUCUAUGAAGAAAUAGUUUUUUUAAAAGU
ensembl:lncRNA